rnacentral:rRNA from 1 species
AUGGAAGAAGUGUUCCACCAGCCAGUCAACAGUUCUGCCACAAACAAUGCAGAAUCAGUGUUGGAAAUGCCAAUCGUUCCAGCAAUGCCAACAAGCACACCUUUGCACACCAGCACAAGCAACACUCAAGCAGAUGAAAUAGCCGUCGAUACUGAAGUGAAUGAUGAAACUGAUGACGAAGCACAAGGGGAUGAAGAAGAUGUGCAAUCAGAAAUCAUGGUACCUAAGCCACCAUAUGUUGGGGAGAGAUUUGAUUCGUUUGAAGAUGCCAAGGAAUUCUACCAGAGAUAUGCAAUGUUCCAUGGGUUUGCGAUGAACACCGAAUACCAUAGGAAAAUUAAAAAAACUAACGAGUACUGUCAGGGAUGUAGCUAUUUGUGUAAGCCGCUCAGGAGGGGCCGGGUUACGCAAAGAAGACUCACCAGAAAGAAGCCCAAGGCCAAGCAUGAAGAUGACGGUUCAAUAAAGGGCUUAAGGCCCACAGGCGACUUAAGGCCCGUUGUAGUAAACCUCCAUAAUGGCUUGACUUGUAUCAUAAGGUAG